GACGAACGCUGGCGGCGUGCCUAACACAUGCAAGUCAGGGAGAAAAGGGUAGCAAUAUCCUGAGUAAACCGGCGAACGGGUGAGUAACACGUAGGCAACUUACCUUGAGAACGGGAAUAACCCCGGGAAACCGGGGCUAAUACCCGAUGUUAUUCCGUUGUAGCAUUGCAAUGGAAUAAAAAGCCCGCAAGGGCGUCACAAGAUAGGCCUGCGUCCCAUUAGAUAGUUGGCGGGGUAACAGCCCACCAAGUCGACGAUGGGUAGCUGGUCUGAGAGGACGAUCAGCCACACUGGAACUGAGACACGGUCCAGACUUCUACGGAAGGCAGCAGUGAGGAAUAUUGCUCAAUGGGCGAAAGCCUGAAGCAGCGACGCCGCGUGAAGGAUGAAAUCCGUUAGGAUGUAAACUUCUUUGCGGGGAAGAAUGUGCGCCUUGGGCGCAUUGACGGUACCCGUGAAUAAGCACCGGCCAACUACGUGCCAGCCGCCGCGUA
rnacentral:rRNA from 1 species